rnacentral:rRNA from 1 species
GACGAACUGUCCUAACGUUGUUCGGAAUCACUGGGCUUAAAGGGCGCGUAGGCGGUCCGACAAGUCAGGGGUGAAAUCCUGGAGCUCAACUCCAGAACUGCCUUCGAUACUGGGAGACUUGAGUUCGGGAGAGGUGAGUGGAACUGCGAGUGUAGAGGUGAAAUUCGUAGAUAUUCGCAAGAACACCAGUGGCGAAGGCGGCUCACUGGCCCGAUACUGACGCUGAGGUGCGAAAGCGUGGGGAGCAAACAGG